ACUCAAAUGAAUUGACGGGGGCCCGCACAAGCAGCGGAGCGUGUGGUUUAAUUCGAUGAUACGCGAAGAACCUCACCCAGGUUUGACAUGCAUGUGGUACUGAGGUGAAAGCCGAGGGACCCUUCGGGGAGCAUGCACAGGUGUUGCACGGCCGUCGUCAGCUCGUGCCGUGAGGUGUUGGGUUAAGUCCCGCAACGAGCGCAACCCCUGUCGCCAGUUGUAUUUUUCUGGCGAGACUGCCGAGAAAACCUCGGAGGAAGGAGGGGACGAUGUCAGGUCAGCGUGGCCCUUACGCCUGGGGCUACACACACGCUACAAUGGGUGGUACAGAGGGCAGCCAAGCGGCGACGCGGAGCCAAUCCCAUCAAAGCCAUCCUCAGUUCGGAUUGCAGGCUGAAACCCGCCUGCAUGAAGCCGGAGUUGCUAGUAACCGCAGGUCAGCACUACUGCGGUGAAUACGUUCCCGGGCCUUGUACACACCGCCCGU
rnacentral:rRNA from 1 species